rnacentral:rRNA from 1 species
CACGUAGGGGACGAGCGUUGUCCGGAUUCAUUGGGCGUAAAGCGCGCGUAGGCGGCUCGGAAAGUCGGGCGUGAAAUGCCGGGGCUCAACCCCGGGACUGCGUCCGAUACUUCCGAGUUGGAGGUAGGUAGGGGAGAUCGGAAUUCCUGGUGUAGCGGUGAAAUGCGCAGAGUAUCAGGAGGAACACCGGUGGCGAAGGCGGAUCUCUGGGCCGUACCUGACGCUGAGGCGCGAAAGCUAGGGG